UGGGGGCUCAGCCACAUAGAUAUUUUGGAGU
rnacentral:piRNA from 1 species